AGCGAACGCUGGCGGCAGGCCUAACGCAUGCAAGUCGAACGGAUCCUUCGGGAUUAGUGGCGGACGGGUGAGUAACACGUGGGAACGUGCCCUUUGGUUCGGAACAACUCAGGGAAACUUGAGCUAAUACCGGAUGUGCCCUUCGGGGGAAAGAUUUAUCGCCAUUGGAGCGGCCCGCGUCUGAUUAGCUAGUUGGUGAGGUAACGGCCCACCAAGGCGACGAUCAGUAGCUGGUCUGAGAGGAUGAUCAGCCACACUGGGACUGAGACACGGCCCAGACUCCUACGGGAGGCAGCAGUGGGGAAUCUUGCGCAAUGGGCGAAAGCCUGACGCAGCCAUGCCGCGUGAAUGAUGAAGGUCUUAGGAUUGUAAAAUUCUUUCAGCGGGGACGAUAAUGACGGUACCCGCAGAAGAAGCUCCGGCUAACUUCGUG
rnacentral:rRNA from 1 species